rnacentral:rRNA from 1 species
UAUUUAGAGAGUUUGAUCCUGGCUCAGGACGAACGCUGGCGGCGUGCCUAACACAUGCAAGUCGAACGGACUUUGCGAGAGCUUGCUCUUGCAAAGUUAGUGGCGGACGGGUGAGUAACGCGUGAGCAACCUGCCUUACAGAGGGGGACAACAUUGGGAAACCGAUGCUAAUACCGCAUAAGAUUAUAGAACCGCAUGGUUUAGUAAUCAAAGGAGCAAUCCGCUGUAAGAUGGGCUCGCGUCCGAUUAGAUAGUAGGCGGGGUAACGGCCCACCUAGUCGACGAUCGGUAGCCGGACUGAGAGGUUGAACGGCCACAUUGGGACUGAGAUACGGCCCAGACUCCUACGGGAGGCAGCAGUGGGGGAUAUUGCACAAUGGGGAAACCCUGAUGCAGCAACGCCGCGUGAGGGAAGAAGGUCUUCGGAUUGUAAACCUUUGUUCUUGGUGACGAAGAAGUGACGGUAACCAAGGAGGAAGCUCCGGCUAACUACGUGCCAGCAGCCGCGGUAAUACGUAGGGAGCGAGCGUUGUCCGGAAUUACUGGGUGUAAAGGGUGCGCAGGCGGGACUGCAAGUUGGAUGUGAAAUACCGGGGCUUAACCCCGGAGCUGCAUCCAAAACUGUAGUUCUUGAGUGAAGUAGAGGCAGGCGGAAUUCCGAGUGUAGCGGUGAAAUGCGUAGAUAUUCGGAGGAACACCAGUGGCGAAGGCGGCCUGCUGGGCUUUAACUGACGCUGAGGCACGAAAGCAUGGGGAGCAAACAGGAUUAGAU